AAGCUGGAAUGUCCUGGCAUGAGCUGGGAGCUACGAAGAUGGACUGAAACUUGGGUCACUAUGACAAAAACCAUGGGCCUAAAGCCGUCAGACACAGCUACCAGAGAGGAGGCUGGGCUCCUUUCUGGGAGGAGAAAAUGGAAGUCUCUCUCCUGGCCAUCCUGAACCUCUGUCAUCACUCUAUCACAGCCCGUGAUUAGCCUGGUUCUCCCAGCCUCCGGGAUCAUGGAGCCGCUGUUCCUCCUUUCUAGAUGGCCUGUCUUUGUUUCCGAUUUGAACCUCAUUCUGGUCCUCCACCUGCACUUCCUCACAGCUUCUCCAGAUUCCUUUACAUUGCAUUUUGGCUCUCAGCUAGGUUUGCAACUCCUCCCAAUUUAGAAACAUCUGAAAAUUUAAUUAGCAGGCGGUUGUCUCCCUCUUCCACAUAAUUAAUGAAGAUGUUAAAAUAAAACUGGAUUAAGAAUUUAUUAC
ensembl:lncRNA